CAGAGCAAGAAGAGGCUUCAAAGUUUGGAUUCAAAUUGCAGCAGACUUUUGGAAUUAUUAACAAUGCUGUUACAAUUGCUGGGGAAGGAAAGCAAUUUGCAGCACACAUGGAAGAAGUGUAAAAGUCCUUUGAGGAAACAGUUUUAGGUUUUCCUUUACGUACCUGGGGCUUAAUUUGCUGGAGGAGCUGGCACAUGUGGGAGUCUUGUUCCAUGCUUCCAGCCUCAGCCCAGUAGACCAGGAUGGCUCUGAGGUAUCAUGGCUGGUCCAGGCACUACCAUAAAUGGGGACCUUGGUGCAAUCUUGUAAAAGCCUUCAUCAGCUUCUGUUGCAUCAUAACAAAUUAAAACAGUGUGAUCUGACUUCUCAUCUGACCAUCUCAGGCUCGCCUUCAGCACCAGGCUCCUUGCAAACUGCCUUAAAGCUACCCAUAAAAUCCCUGCCAAGAAGAACGUGCUCGUCACUGCACGGGAUGAAAUGCAGACGAGCAGAAGACGGGCAGCGGCCGCUCCAGUUACAGGGAUACAUACAUGCAAGCCUGUUGUACACAGCAAUCCAUUUCCAUUUGAAGGAUGUAACCCUGCCACAUGGAGGGCACUGGUCAUUGCAGCUCAGCCCGAAUCCCUCUUGCAUGUUUCUUGGAGGAACCUGGCUAGGAAGAACCAAGACGAGGUUAGUUCAAACUACCUGUGAUAAGAUCUCUUUCUUUA
rnacentral:lncRNA from 1 species